UAAAUUCAUGGAUGUUAAAAGAACCCAACUUCUAUUUUUUUUCCUUUGCUUUUCUACGUGCUCAAGUAAGAAAACUCAAUGGAGAUUCGAUCCCGGACGGCAUAUCCAUCGAGAGGAAUGCUCUUCUCAGGUUCAAAGAAGGCCUAAAAGGUCCCAUCAACGGGCUAUCUUCUUGGGUGGGUGACGACUGCUGCACGCGUGGCUUGUGAUAACCGUACCAGACACAAGGUCAAGCUAGACCUCUGCAACCAACACCCAUUCUCACACGUUGGCAAUCUUCUUUGCAACAAGUUGUCCUUGGGAGGUGUGGAACUCAGAGAAGGUGCUUACGGGCUGCAAGCACUAAACAUGCUCCUUUCUAUUAUUGAGCUGGCUCAACUCUUUUCUUCCCCGGGUCGUCUUCCGCACAUCUCCCCGUGCCGGCAGCCUCCUUGUCCCUGUCUCGACCGCCUCCGGAGAGUGACAUGGGAGGAAGGGGAGCGAUGAGCGGAAGUGGAGACGGAACAAUAGAGCCCGACAAGAGCCUUGCCGUCUACCUCCUCGUGGCGGCCACCUCUCUACACGGGCCCAAACCAACCGCCGCCACUAUGUCGGCCCAACACUCUCGUGGCUUGGCGGGGCCAACCACAUGGUCGCCACCACCUGCUCUCCGCCCUCACCUUCGAAGACAUCUCGUCCGGGAACGAUGGCACCAGUGGCAACGGCCCUUGCACAGGUGCCAAGCUCUUUGAACUCGAAGGCCAGGGGAUGGGGUUUGGGGGAUGGGGAGGGGGGGCCGGAGAAUGUGGCAUUAUAAGAUGUAGUUGGGCGUGCGUCAAGGGAAAGAGGAGUAGAGAAGAGAAGACGACAAAGUAGCCAUUAUCUCUUCUUGUGCUCGGAGGCUUUGAGGGUGAGGAAGGGCUGGUUGCCUGCCUGGCAUGGAAUUUUUUGACGGCACGAGGAACGGAGAGCAUUGAUUAUACUGCGUGGGGAUCCUUUUUGGUUUUAAAAAUGUAUCUAACGUUCGGAACUUUUACA